GACCAUGAGGACUCCAUCACUUGGCGGUGGACCCCAAAUGGCAUAUACUCUGCUGCUUCGGCCUACGCGGUCCAGUUCUCUGCAUCCUAUCCCAAGUUUUCCCCAGCCAAGAUUUGGGAGGCACACGCAGAGCCAAAAUGCAAGUUCUUCGCCUGGCUUGUGCUCCACGGAAAAAUCCUCACGGCCGACAUGCUAGCCGUUCGUGGCUGGCCGCACAACCCUCGCUGCCCCCUUUGCCUUGGGGCACCGGAGACGGCCACUCAUCUCUGCAAGGACUGCCCGUUUGCCGCCGCAGUUUGGUCUCACGUCCAGGUGUGGACGGGAGAGGAUUCUGGGGCCACACCCACGUUGCCCCCUUCGAUGGGGAUUUCGGACUGGUGGGAUUCGUUCACCACCAAUUUGCCCAAGGACGACGGAAGAAGACGGAGCGGCCGCUUCCUUUACACCAUCGGGAACAUCUGGAAGGAGCGAAACCGACGCAUCUUCAAUGGAACUCGCCUCACGCACCUAGAGGUAGCAGCUAUUGCCUUCGACGACAUCAAGCAAAGGACUUUGGCCUUUGGCCGAGCACAGAUGGCAGCCGGUAUCGGUUGA
rnacentral:rRNA from 1 species